AUAAGGAAAAUAAACUUAAAACUCAUGAGCCCUAUAACAAAGAAAAUUAUAUGUAAAUUUCAACUCAGCAUUAAAAUAUAUGUGGUAUAGAAGACAAAUAAAAUAUGGAUUUGUCUUUUUACAGAGCAUAGAGUUUUGAUCGUGGGUUUAAAAGAGGUUUUUAAAAGGUUAGGGCUUUAAAAGGUUUUUUAUUGAUAUGUCAGCAUUUCAAUAAAUUUGCAUAAUAGCACAAAUAGCUUAAACUACAGAAAAUAGAGUCAAAGACUUUGAACUAUAAACUAGUAACUCUGAGAAACAUUAAGAAACAUAAUUUUCAGCCAUUAAUUCAAUAACCUUGAUUUAAAAUAUAUUAAUAACCAAUCAGCUAUAAAUUGUCUCAGACAGAAACAGAAAUUUUACGUUGGAAUAUGGAAAAUUAAAGAAAAUGCCAAGCUGUGACUAUGAAGAAAACACCAAGAUCAGGAGGAAGACAGAAACAUUCCCUUAAAGUUAAAAGCCUGGAACUAAUACUAGAAUGCACUGUAACUAGAUCUGUAUACUCAUUGUACUUUUUAAUGUAAGUUUUUCUUUAGGUAACUAAUUAGAAAUGUGAACAUCAGUCAUUCUCAACUGAUCCUUCUGUUGUCUGAUUUACAAGAUCUAUUCUCUUUGGACUGAUGUUAAAGAGAGCAACCUGAACCAAAUUUAUUCAAAUUGCCAAUUGCAAUCAAUAUAAAAUAUUCAAGUAAAAGGAUUAAAUGAUAUGCAUCGACAUUAUAGAAGCAUCUAAUAUUGUCAUUAUUUAUCCUAGUCUUGAUAAAGUACACAUUACAGAAAUGAAAGUGUUAUCAAUAUGAAAUUGAAGAUAGAAGAGCUGAAACAAUAUUUGGCCUCUGUUUUGAAGCUCUGGAGAAGCAUUUAGGAGACAAAAGUUCAUUUCAAUGGCUUCUCUUCCCUCAAAUAAAGCAUUUAGCAUCCAUCUCUUCAUAAUGGAUUUACAAGUCACUUUGUCAAAGGCAUAUCACUUUGACACUUCCCUAAAAAUUAGAUUACAAACGCCUAGGUUACUAGAAUUGUGACUAUUUAUGGCUCAGCCCCGGCUUCAAGUUUUACAUCCUGUGUUUUUGCCAAUAGAUAACUGUUCAGUGACAGGCUAGACAAAUACUUGUCUUCUAACCAGCACACUAGAAUACUACAACCAACACUUAUUAUGUGUUUAUCUUUAUCAGGCACUGUACUAGGUGCUAAGGAUACAAAGCAGUUUAAGGAACAAUGCUAGCUGUGAAGGACAUCACAGUGCAGCAGGGGACUCAGGCAUGUAUGUAGAAAACCACAGGACAAAGAAACCAUGUCAUGACUGAGAGACAACAAAUGAUGGAGAGAAAACAAAGAGAAGAAUCUUAAAUUCUGGGAAAAAUAGGGGAUAGAAUGACUGAAGAGACCACUGCAGAAAAGGGUGUGACAAAAAUAAUGACCUUUGAUCUUGAUCAUUAAGUGAAAGGUCUCAUGAUGAACAGCCAGACUUUGGCAAGGCAAGGGUGUAUACUAUGCCACAAAUCUAAAGCUUCUACAAAAUAAGACAUACUGUGUUCUAGAAAUAAUGCUAAAAGUGUAAUCAUCAAGUAAGUGUGUUUCUAAGGGCCCAUAAAACCAAAAUAAUAAAAAGAGAAAUCAAUACAUCUUCUAGAAAGGUAUUCAGGCUUUUUUCACCUUUUGAACAAUGAAAUUUGGAGCUUACAUUUACUUUGAGCUAUCAACAAUUAAUAGGUUCAUAGGCCAGAGCAACUGUUUGUAUUCUAACUGUGGUAUUCAAAAUAUGCCUUCUUCCAAAGAUGCCCACCUCUGAAUCCCCAGAACUUGUGCAUGGAUGAUCAAGUUUAAGGACCUUGAGGUGAGAAGAAUAGCCUAGAUGAUCCCAGUAGCUCCAAUCUAAUUACAUGUGUCCUUAAAAGCAGAGAACAUUUCUUAGCUAUGGUAGUGGGAUGGAUUCGGUACCCUGUAGCUGGUUCUAAGAGGUAAGGGGCUACAUGCAAGUGCAAGAGAGAGGCCACUAGAUGCUAACAGAGACAGUCAGCAAGGAAAUGGAGACCUGGAUCCUAUAACCACAUGGAACUGAAUUCUGCCAACACCUAAAUAAGUCCCCAAAAAAGAAUGCAGUAGGAUGACACCUUAAUUUUAGCCAUAAGAGACCCUUAUGGUAUUUCUAACCUACUGAAUUGUAAGAUAAUAAGAUUAUGUUGUUUUAUAUGACUAAAUUUGUCAUAAUAUGUUACAGCAGUAAUAGAAAACUAACACGCCAACACAUUUUAGUUUUAACAUAAAAAUAGUUACAAAUAUGGGGUUAUAACAUAGUUUUAUAAAAACAAAUACUGUUUAAGAUCCAGAAAUGUUGCUACAAUGAUACCAUUUAUUUUUAUAGACCAGUUCUUCUAAAAGAGAAGAAAGAUUAAAUAAGAGCUGCUGUUCACUUGAUACCAUAUACUAGUUAGUGCAGUAUGUGCUUUACACAGCAAGAGUAAUCUCUAAUAUUUUAGUAUAUGCAUAUGCAUACAUAUAUUCAUGUGUAAUAGACAUUCUCUUAAGCACCUUUUGUGUAUUCAUUCAUAUAAUAUUCACAACAACCUUAUGAGGUAACUACUAUCACCAUCCCCAUUUUACAUAUAAAGGAAUUGAGAUGCAAAAAAUGUAAGUAAUAUGCUACGGUCAUGCAGAUAGUAAUCACUUAAUUCCCACAGAAUCUGUCUAACAGGAAUGAGCAUUUAUCAGGAGCACUCUGUAUUUCAGGUCUGAGGUCAAGCAUUUCCCAAUCACUUAAGCACAACUGUCCCAACAGCACCUCAUCCUGCAGAUGAGAAGCCUGGGACUUACAAAGGCUCAAUAACUUGUUCAGUGUCUCACAACAAACAGCUAAAGUUGGAACUAACCCCCAAACAGACCUUCUUAAUCAUCCAGUGUGUUCUAGGGAAACCCAGGAAAGUGGGCCCAGCAGUUACUUGAGGAUAUCCUCUUCUGAACAAUCAGACUUCAGCAGGGUAUUUUAGUUAAAAUCUUUCUAAAUACUUGAAUCAAUCAAGGUCUCUCCCAAAGGACAUUUGAGACCCUCUCUGUUUUUGGCAGGAGGUGGGCUUUACAUUUGUCAAGUCAAUUGGCAAUAUUUUUAUUCAACAACAAAAACUUUAAUCACCUUCCCACUUGAUUACACAGUGAGUACCUACUAUGUACAAAUCAAUAUGAAGAGUAUUAAGGACCAUCCUAACAGGUAUAGUUUACCCGAGUGUACUGAUUUCUACAUUACAAUUCAAGAGAAGUCAAAAGAGUUUUAGUGCUCUGUUGCUUGACAACCAUGACUCUGGCAAAACUUAUAGAACAUACUAAGGAGAAUUCAAUCAACUUCUUGUAAUAUUCGAGAAAAAUUAAAUGCAAUUAUGUUAGAAAGAAAAGAGGCCCAGGUUCUAUCUGAAUAUCCUUUAACAAUUUAUUUCACGUGCAACCUCAAUGUCCUCAUUUGUAAAAUUAAAAAGAUUGGUCUACAAAAUGUCAAAUAUCUUCCUAGUUCUGAUUUUUGUCCUUGUACAAGAAGAAUAUCUAGAUUUAGGCAGUGCACUAAGCAGCAGAGUGGAGUACCUGGGGUGAUACCAGGGACAGAAGAUGGCAAAUAUCCAAACCCCAGAGCUACUUAUAUAUAAACUAGGAAGAUUUCAUAUGUGUUUAUAAAAAAGACCCUGGAAAAAGAACACUCCAAAAUAUCAGCAAAAAUGCUGUGAAUUUUCCAAGACCUGAAUAAAAAUGGGGCACCAGAAAUAGUAACUUUGCUAAGUAAGUAAUCACAGAUGUACUCGACACUUGGUUAAUGGGAUUUAAAGAAAAGUAAACAUGCACCCACACAAAUGCAUGCAUACAUAUAAUACAGACACAUCCCCUCACAGAGAAAUGAGUGCUUCCUUCUCUCUCAAGUGGAGUGAUGAGCCGAUCCAACCAUCAGCUAUUAUACAAGCUUGCAGCACUGCACCAAACUCACUGAACACACUGAACUCUCCUGGAAAUGCUACCCCAGUUUCCUAUAAGCACAAAGGAGGCCCUGGAACUUUUCCAAACCCUGAUACUUUUGUCAGCUAGGUAAAGGCAUUCACUUAACCAGCUUUAAAGAUGGGACUAUCAGCCUGUAUUUGGCAGCCCUGGGAAAGGCAAGUUCACAGCCCACUCAGCAGCACCAGAGAGGAAAGGGGAUUUUGCCUGGAUCCUGCUAGGAAUGAGUCAAAAGCUGAGUGAAAGUUAUAUUUUAGUGCUCACAAGUGGUUUUUCUUGUACAAAAGGAUCAUGCAGUUUGGACACAACAAAAUCAUGAGAAAAUAAAUUCAAUAGUAAACUGCAGAGAUAGGGAGAGCACUGGAAGAUUUAGUAAACAGAAUGCUAAAACUGGUGUUGUCUAUUGCAAUAUUGAAAGAGAUACUGCAACUAAAAAUUCUGCAGAAUUAAAUUAUAACAACCUUCUCAGAGCACAUAUCUCAGUUCAUUCCCCACUGUACUUCAUAAAUGAUGUCAGGGUCCUCUUUGAAUCUUCACCAUAUAUAUAGUUUAGUCUUUGAAGUUUA